AUGGACUUGGGGUUUAUUUGGUUUUACCUUGUUUUUACUAUAAAAGGUAUGCAGUGUAAGGUGCAGCUGGUGGAGUCUGGAGGAGGGUUAGUGCAGCAUGGGAAGUCCCAGAAACUCUCCUGUGCGGCCUCUGGAUUCACUUUCAGUAGCUAUGCCAUGAACUGGGUCCGCCGGGCUCCAGGGAAGGGGCUGGAGUGGGUCGCAUAUAUUAAUGCUGACAGUAGUUACAUUUACUAUGCUAACGCUGUUAAGGGCAGAUUCACCAUCUCCAGAGACAAUUCCAAGAACUCCAUGAAUCUGCAAAUGAACGACCUCAAAGACACAGACACUGCCCUGUAUUAUUGUGCCAGAGACACAGUGAGAGAAAUCCAGUGUCAGCCUGCACAAAAUCCUCACUGCAGGGAUAGUCAUGACCAACAGGGGGAGCAGAGGACCAAAACGGAAUCCAAGGACCAUGACCAUUACAUGCACUGGGUCCGCCAGGCUCCAGGAAAGGGGCUGGAGUGGGUCUCAAGCAUUAGUGGUACUAGUCUAUUAAUCUACUAUGCAGAUACUGUGAAGGGACGAUUCACCAUCUCCAGAGACAACACCAAGAAGACCCUGAACCUAAAAAUGAACAAUCUCAAGUCUGAGGACAUGGCCAUAUAUUACUGUGCAAGAGACACU